rnacentral:rRNA from 1 species
UAAACUACGAUUAGAUACCCUAUUAUUUUAAAUGUGAAGUGUUAAUACUAGAGUAGUAUAAGUUAUGUUCUUGAAACUCAAAGAAUUUGGCGGUGUUUUAGUCCUUUCAGAGGAACCUGCCCCAUAAUCGAUAUUCCACGUUAGACCCAACUUAGUUUAGUAAAUCAGUUUGUAUAUCGCCGUCGUCAGAAUGUCCUAAGAGGGUUUAAAUUUUCUUUAUUUAAAAUAAAAAUUAAUCGAUGUCAGGUCAAGGUGCAGUUAAUGGCUAAGAGGAGGUGGGUUACAAUAAAUUUAUUUAUAUGGAUAGUUAUUUUAAAUAGUAACUUGAAGGUGGAUUUGAAUGUAAUUUUAUAUAGUAUAAUAUAUUGAUUUUGGCUCUAAAACAUGCACACAUCGCCCGUCGCUCUUA